UACGUAGGGGGCAAGCGUUAUCCGGAUUUACUGGGUGUAAAGGGAGCGUAGACGGCGUGCCAAGUCUGAUGUGAAAGGCCGGGGCUCAACCGCAGAACUGCAUUUGAAACUGUUGAUCUUGAGUACUGGAGAGGCAGACGGAAUUCCUAGUGUAGCGGUGAAAUGCGUAGAUAUUAGGAGGAACACCAGUGGCGAAGGCGGUCUGCUGGACAGCAACUGACGGUGAGGCGCGAAAGCGUGGGGAGCAAACAGG
rnacentral:rRNA from 1 species